UACGGAGGAUGCAGGCGUUAUCCGGAUUUAUUAGGUUUAAAGGGUGCGCAGGCGGUCUUUUAAGUCAGUGGUGAAAGUUUGCAGCUCAACUGUAAAAUUGCCAUUGAUACUGGAAGACUUGAAUGUGGUAGAGGUAGGCGGAAUGUGUAGUGUAGCGGUGAAAUGCUUAGAGAUUACACAGAACACCGAUUGCGUAGGCAGCUUACUAUGCCAUGAUUGACGCUGAGGCACGAAAGCGUGGGGAGCGAACAGG
rnacentral:rRNA from 1 species